GACGAACGCUGGCGGCGUGCUUAACACAUGCAAGUCGAACGGAAAGGCCCUGCGUUUGUGGGGUGCUCGAGUGGCGAACGGGUGAGUAACACGUGAGUAACCUGCCCUUGACUUUGGGAUAACUUCAGGAAACUGGGGCUAAUACCGGAUAGGAUCUCCUGCUGCAUGGUGGGGGUUGGAAAGUGUCGGCGGUUGGGGAUGGACUCGCGGCUUAUCAGCUUGUUGGUGGGGUAGUGGCUUACCAAGGCUUUGACGGGUAGCCGGCCUGAGAGGGUGACCGGCCACAUUGGGACUGAGAUACGGACCAGACUGCUACGGGAGGCAGCAGUGGGGAAUAUUGCACAAUGGGCGGAAGCCUGAUGCAGCAACGCCGCGUGCGGGAUGACGGCCUUCGGGUUGUAAACCGAUUUCGACUGUGACGAAGAGUGAGUGACGGUAAUGGGUCAAGAAGCACCGGCUAACUACGUG
rnacentral:rRNA from 1 species